rnacentral:rRNA from 1 species
UCACCAGACUCCUACGGGAGGCAGCAGUGGGGAAUAUUGCACAAUGGGCGAAAGCCUGAUGCAGCAACGCCGCGUGAAGGAAGAAGGCCUUCGGGUCGUAAACUUCUGUCCUUGGGGAAGAAGAACUGACGGUACCCAAGGAGGAAGCCCCGGCUAACUACGUGCCAGCAGCCGCGGUAAUACGUAGGGGGCAAGCGUUAUCCGGAAUUACUGGGUGUAAAGGGAGCGUAGGCGGGAAGCCAAGUCAGCUGUGAAAACUACGGGCUUAACCUGUAGACUGCAGUUGAAACUGGCUUUCUUGAGUGAAGUAGAGGUUGGCGGAAUUCCGAGUGUAGCGGUGAAAUGCGUAGAUAUUCGGAGGAACACCGGUGGCGAAGGCGGCCAACUGGGCUUUAACUGACGCUGAGGCUCGAAAGUGUGGGGAGCAAACAGGAUUAGAUACCCUUGUA